UCCGAUAUAGUGUAACGGCCAACAUACCUCGUUUUCACCGAGGAGCUCGGGGUUCGAUUCCCCGUAUCGGAG
rnacentral:tRNA from 1 species